GUGCUAGCUUUGAGAGCACAUAUAUUAAAAUUGGAAAGAUACAGAGAAGAUUAGAUGGUCUCUGUGCAAGGAUGAUACACACAUUUGUAAGAGUGUAACUUCAUAU